rnacentral:lncRNA from 1 species
GAGGUGAUCCACUGCCGGUGGGCGAUGCUGGGGGCGCUGGGGUGCGUGUUCCCGGAGAUCCUGGCGAGGAACGGGGUGAAGUUCGGGGAGGCGGUGUGGUUCAAGGCCGGGGCGCAGAUAUUCUCGGAGGGGGGCCUGGACUACCUGGGCAACCCCAACCUCAUCCACGCGCAGAGCAUCCUCGCCAUCUGGGCCUGCCAGGUCGUCCUCAUGGGCUUCGUCGAGGGCUACCGCGUCGGCGGCGAGGGCCUCGACCCCAUCUACCCGGGGGGCGCCUUCGACCCCCUCGGCCUCGCCGACGACCCCGACGCCUUCGCCGAGCUCAAGGUCAAGGAGAUCAAGAACGGCCGCCUCGCCAUGUUCUCCAUGUUCGGAUUCUUCGUCCAGGCCAUCGUCACCGGCAAGGGCCCCAUCGAGAACCUCUUCGACCAC